rnacentral:rRNA from 1 species
UAGGGAAUCUUCGGCAAUGGACGAAAGUCUGACCGAGCAACGCCGCGUGAGUGAAGAAGGUUUUCGGAUCGUAAAACUCUGUUGUUAGAGAAGAACAAGGACGUUAGUAACUGAACGUCCCCUGACGGUAUCUAACCAGAAAGCCACGGCUAACUACGUGCCAGCAGCCGCGGUAAUACGUAGGUGGCAAGCGUUGUCCGGAUUUAUUGGGCGUAAAGCGAGCGCAGGCGGUUUCUUAAGUCUGAUGUGAAAGCCCCCGGCUCAACCGGGGAGGGUCAUUGGAAACUGGGAGACGUGAGUGUAGAAGAGGGGAGUGGAAUUCCAUGUGUAGCGGUGAAAUGCGUAGAUAUAUGGAGGAACACCAGUGGUGAAGGCGGCUCUCUGGUCUGUAACUGACGCUGAGGCUCGAAAGCGUGGGGAGCAAACAGG